GGACGUUCAGAGAUUGGGCCGCCUGUGAAUGAACCUUUAAGAAAUGUAUUAACAUUAUAGAGCAAUGAAAUGAAAAUGUUACUCACUUGCUGUAUUAAUCUGCUAGUUAUUUUCUUAUUUGAACCAAAUUUAUGUGACGAUAUGAUGAUCUCUACUGCAUCACCCGGUUUAAAGUGCCCCUAAUGCUUCAAACGUUUUUUCGCGAUAUCAAAUCUUGGCAUGAUUUCUAGUAUUUUGCGGAAAACAAAAAUGAAUUUCGUCAACUCCUCCAAUUUUUAUGGCAGUUUAAAGUUGGUAAAAAGGCACUUUUUGUGGACCACUUCCGUGGCCACAAGGAGUCUGAAACGAGUGAAUUUUGUGACGUCAUCCGAGGUACUCGUGAAAACCACAUGCAAAUUCACUGUAGGUCAUAUACAUAUAUUGCGUUUGUUUGCUUUGGUAAAAAAGAUGGUCAAUAGUUGUGUAGCGGCCAAUUGCACGAAUAAAGCUUGCCUAAGUUCAGGUAUAAGUGUUCACACUGUUCCUUAUUACAACGAUGAUCGACCUGAAGCAAAGAGAAGACGGAAAAUCUGGGUUGACUUCGUGAAGGCAAAACGGGUCUUCGAGCCUUCGAAGGCUUCGACUUUAUGCUCAAUUCACUUUCUGCCUGAAGAUUACGAGCGAAGAUUCUCCAGUUUGCCUAAUCAAACGAAGCCAAAUCAUCCGAGGUUAAAGAGAGAUGAUCUUGGCAUUUGCGUAUACCCAAGUAUUCAUGCUGUAGCGACGAAACAUGCAAGCGAACCAGAUACGAAAAGUCCUAGGGAUAGACGCAUGGUGAGUUUAUUGAAUUUUUUGCACGAUUUUUUUCAAUUUUUCUGAGUUGUUUCCAACGUAUAUUGUAUAGCAUUUAAUUAUGCAAUUAUAUAUAGGAUAUAUAUUAUAUAUAUGUUAUAGUCCAUUGUAUCUUUCAUAUAGUUCAUAAAAGCUAUCACAGAAGAAAGCACAUGCCAUGGGGAAGUCGAAGGUUCGAAGAUGGACGUCGUCACCAAGCGCACACCAAAGUCGACUGCACAGCGCAAGAAAAGGAAGCAAGAGUUAGGGCCCCAAGAGCUGGAGAUGCUUGGAGAAAGUCACCCUGACGAGCCAGUAAAUGUAAGGUCACCAGUCACUUACUAUUAUAAAUGCAAAUGCCAGGUUUAUAAUUAUACUAUAAAUUAUACUCAGCCUAUGGAAGCGUUUUAAUGUAAAUACACGCAGAUGCGCCCUACUUUGUUGUUUUACUCAGUCUAAUGCCAGACUAUUUUACUCAUCAGGGAGAGCAUGCUGCCACUCAAUGGAUUAAUUAGACUAUCUGCCCAUGCAACUUUGUUAUUACAUCUACCUAAUGCACUUAUCAAUGUUAAGCCGCAGAGGGGGGGGGGGUCGGGCAUAGGUGGGGCAUUUGAUUUUUUGAGCAAAUUUUCAAUCAAAUGCCCCACCGUCAGGCAAUAAAUAUUGGUCAAAUACCCCACCAUUUUGCAAUAAAUUGCAAUAAAUACUAUAUUAAUAAAAGUCAUUUGGUUCAAAUUGCCCCAACUUGGGACCAAAAUGCUAAUCAAAAUCCCCAGGGUGGUGAUGCAAUUGAUGAUCAAAUACCCCACAUAUGCCCAACCCCUCUGGGGAUUAACAUUGAUAGGUGCAUGACGUCAGACGAUUUUAAUACUUGUCGGGGGAGAGUGCUGCCACCCAAUGGGUUAUUAAAAAUAUUGUUUUAUUACUUUAUACUCAUAGAUCCUCACAACUGAUACCGAUACACAGAUGCCAAACUUGAAUGCUGAUUUGGAAACAAUCUUUGAAAAAAACCGAAGACUGAAGAACCAAAUCAUUACCCUGCAAACAAUUGCACAAGAGAAGAAAAUUAAAAUGAAACAAAUGAAACGCAAAGGUAUUAAGAGGCAGUCUCUGUAAGAACCU
rnacentral:lncRNA from 1 species